UUGCUCGCUUCAGCAGCACAUACUGUAAAAUCGGAACAGCACAGAGAAUAGCGAGCGUGGGCCCCGCACAAGCAUGGUGUGCAAAGUUGUGAAGCGGUCCUUAUUUUU